UUGAGAGACCAUGAUGGGAGGAUGGCUUGAGGCCAGGAGUUUGAGACAAAGGUGUGCUGCGAGAAAGAUUGGUAGCCAGUCUUCCUGUGUCAUGCUGAGGGAACAUUUUGCUACCCAUAUAACAGACAUGGAGCAGUUUCCACCGGGUGAACUUAGACAAGUCAUCAGCUGCUAACGAGGCACCAGGGAAGUCCCAGUCAUAUCUACAUUUGCCUUCAGAUAACCUUUACAGGUUUGGAAAUUGCCAUGAUGAAAAUAGCAAAGUAGUACUGAGCUUGGGAGUUUUACCUGUCUAUUCAGGUGAAAACCACAGUAUCAAGAAGGAAAUGUUGGCAGCUGUAUGAAAACACUAAAAACCAAUGAUUUGCAUAUCUUCAAUGGAUGAAUUAUACAGCAUGUGAAUUUUAUCUCUAUAAAGCUGC